AAGAGGAAGUGUGGGUGAGGAAAAGGAAGAAUCUAAAACAACAGGCAGCUCUCUGGCGUCAGCAACUGGUUUCUUAAACAUGGAUUCUGUGGACCCUGAGGACGAUGGAGAUGGAUAAUGGGCUGAUGUUACAAGGCUUGAGGGAGGCACAUCUCACAUGUACGCAUGAAAACCCAAACGGCAUGCCUGUGAAUUACAGAAGGAUCUGGAAUAAUCUAGAAAAAUCCACUGGCUACCAUGAGGCUGGAUUUCAGGCUUUGGGAUACUUUGGGCUUCUUUAUUGGACCUGAAUGUUCAUCAUCUCUCCAAUGGCAACGGCCAUUAUCUGCAUUGUGGCCUCAGGAGCAUGGCACACGAGGAGGGGUACUUUGGAGAACCAACGGAAAAGAGGACAGGGAAGCAGAAAAGCCCCAUCUACUCUCAGAUUCAGCCAUCCUUCUCCAUCCCAGGGCCAUUGUCUCAGCCUGGCCCCCUCUCCCCCAUCCUUGCAACAGCCUUCCUGCUAUUCCUCCUGACUCUGUCUCUACAUCACUAGCCAGAAGAACCAAAGCGAAGUCCUGCAUCUGUCUGGCCUCUUCUCUCCUCCCCAACACCUGCCCCAGUCAUGAAAAACCAUUGGCACACCCUUAAAAUCCCCUCCAAGUCUUGGCUUAUACUGUCCUCCCAUUUGGUUCUCUCUCCCGUUCUCAACUGACAAGAAAACGGUUUAUUCUUCUUCAGGACUCAGCCUGGGCUCAGCACCCCUGGAAAGCCCUGCCUCCCUUUCCCUGGGUGAGGACCCC